AAUGGAGGAUUUAUUAAUGGAUGGCCUCAAAAUUUACAACUGUAGAUUGUAUCUAUUUGUUCAAGCCAAGAGGCCCUGUCCACAUUUCACCUUGAAAACAUCUUUGGGUUGAACCUCAUGCUUCUCCUUCCUUUACCACAGGUCAUCAUCUGUCUUCUCCAUAGUUCAUAGAACAAAAAACAACAUGACGUCCCACAAGAGCUAGUAUUUCUUGUGAGGAUUUAAUCCUCUGAAUAACUAUGAAAUGGGAAGCAUAAUUAACUCCUUUUACAGGUAAUGAAACUGGAGCUUGGAGAGUUAGUACCGUGGCCAAGAUCUCUGAGAUAGGAAGUGGUGAUACCCAGGACAGGAAUCUAGAUGCUGCGAUGCCAGAGUCUUGAACCAACCCCUAUGCCUGCUGGCCUUGGGAUUAACCAGAAAAAUAAAAGUCCAGAUCCAAUUGCUUGAAUUUGUUUUUUUAAAAAAACUUUUAUUUUAGGAUCGGGGUGGAUGUGCAGGUUUAUUUUGUAGGUAAACUCAUGUCACAGGGGUUUGAUGUACAGACUAUUUCAUUACCCAGGAACUAAGCCUAGAACCAAAUAGUUAUUUUUUCUGCUCCUUUCCCUCCUCCCACCCUCCACCCUUUGCUAGGUCUCACUGUCUGUUGAUCCCCUCUUCGUGUCCAUGUGUUCUCAUCAUUUAGCUCCCACUUAUGAGAACAUGCAGGAUUUGGUUUUCUGUUCCUGUUUUAGUUUGCUAAGGAUAAUGGCCUCCAGCUUCAUCCACGCUCCUGCAAAGCACAUGAUCGCAUUCUUUUUCUAUGGCUGUGUAGUAUUUCAUGGUGUAUUUGCACCACAUUUUCUUUAUCCAGUCUUCCAUUUAUGGGCAUUUAGGUUGAUUCUAUGAAUUUGUGUGUUGAAGCAUAGCAUAGCAAUUCAUAUGCCUAAAAAUAUGGAAAUCAUAAGUGCGUGGCUCAAUGAAUUAUCCAAAGCAAGUGCACCCAGUAACCAGUACCCAUAAGAAACAGAACAUCGCCAGCCCUCUAGGAGUUCCCUCAUGUUGUCAUCCCAGGCCACUGCACUCUCUUCUCCAGUGAUAACAAAUAUUCUCACUUCUGAAGUGAGAAUUUUAAUAUUUUAAUUUUAAUAUUAGUUUAAAAUUUUAUUAAAUGAAAUUGUACAGAAUAAACUCUGUCAGGAUAAUUUAUUAUAUUUGAAAGUCUCAUGUGUAUUUCUAAAGGCAGCUAUAGUUCACUUUUAGUUCUGUAUAGCUUUUUAUUAUAUGUGUCUAUAUGUGCAAUAUCAUAUUUUAGGACUUUUGUAUAUAUAUAUUUCAUGUAUUCUUUUUAUUAUUGAUGUACAUGCGAGUUGUUUCCAGUUUGGAAAAGUGCUAAAUAAUGAUGUAUAAAAGAGAAAAAUAGUCUAAGGAGAGACUAAAUUAACCCACAGCUCCACUACUGAGAAUUUACCUCCCUUAACUGUCAUAGUUCUGGCCAUUUGUGGACGUUCUUUUGCGUGGUGAACAGAUGCAGGCAUUUCUAACGGAUCUAUACCUGAGUCAGAUUGUGGGGCCAUAGAGUGUAUAUGUCCGUCUUUAGAAAAUAUUAUCAAAGGGCUUUUGAGGGUGUUUGUAGCAGUUUACACACACAGCGGCAUAUGAGAGUCCCAGUCGCUGAGCCCCCUCACCAACACUUCAUGUUGUUUUUCAAAUAAAAUGUUACCCAUUGCAUAGUGGUAUCACAUUGUGGUUUUAAUCUGCAUCUCCCUGAUGACUGAGAAUGUGCAGCACCUUUCUCUACACCUGUUGGCCGUCUGGCCACUCUUUGGGAAAUGUCUGGAUUGUUUACCCAUUCUCUCCAGUGUGUCUCGUUUCUUCCUAAUUGAUGGGAGUUAGUCCCACAUCCUACAUGUCAGGCUUUUGUCACAUAAAUGGUAAAUGUUUCUUCAUGCUCUCUUCUUGCCUUUUCAUUUUCUUGAAGGCAUCUUUUGAUGAAGAAAAGUUCUUAAUUUUAAUAAAGUCCAAAUGCAUGUGCCUGUUCUCCUCUGUGAUGCUCCUGCCUGGGGCUGCAGUGCUAGUACUGGUCACCAGGGGGCAGAAGCCUCCCGUGUCCCUGGUGCCCACUGAGCUUUGCUGGAGCAGCUGGAGCUCCGGGAUAGCCUCCUGAGACAGGCACCUCCUGUUAGUAUCAAUGAUCUCCACAUUAUGAGGACAACGGAAGCAGGAAGGGGGUUUAAUCACUUUCUCCCCGCGCUGACUUAUUCACUCAGCGACUCUGCCCUGAGCACUCAUCUUGUGCCAGGUGGCCUGGUGGGCUCAGCAUUGGUGCUGAAAAUGGCAAAGGAGUCCCUCUCCACCCCAGGAGCCUACAGUCUUAGGAGACCUGCACAGAACCACUAAAGCAAGUCCACAUGAGAGAAAAGAGAAGGUGCUGUGAUAAAAAUACGGAAAUUCAAGCCAGCAUGAGCUGAAGAGCAUCUUCAGCAUCAAAACUAAGGAGGAUUGUUUUUCAGCUUCUUGCUGUAGCUAGGUGACAUGAUGGCAUUUAGUGUUCCAGGCCUGCAUUUGAAACCUCGACAUUUACCUUAACAAGGCAGGGGACUGUUGCCCCCUCCCAAGCACUUCAGCUUCCUUGCACGGCCUCUCCUUGGCUUCUGUCUGUCCCUGCCAGAAGCAUUUCAUGGGACCCAUCCUGACCCUCCAAGAAAGCAGAAAAGGGGGUUCCUGAUGUAAAAAGUAAAGAACUAUCAUCGGAAGAAGUUGAGUCCUUUUAAACUCUUCAUCAUUGCCUAUGAACAGCCAAACGGUAAGAUGAUCAGAAAACUGGACAGUUUUUGACAGUCUGUAAGUAAGUACUGUGGCCUACUCAACUGCCUGGCCUUUUGAAAAUCACUCUUAGAAGCUGGUGAUGUCCAUGGGCCCACAUACCGGGAAAUGACGGAGAUGUGUAUUUACAAAGUAACUCUUGACCCAAAGUACCUCUUUAAAAGAAGACAAGCAUGUUUUGCUCCCAUGAUAUCUCAUAGUGGCAUCUAGAUUGCUGAGGGCCUGUUGUCCAAUGCGGCAUCUGGAGCAUCUCAAGAGGGGCUAAGAGAUUCCACCUUCACCCCAGCUCUGAAGAUGCCUCCACCAUGAGAAAGAGAGAGGGAGCCCCUGACUCUCUCUCUGCUCCUUCACGGGUUACUCCCACGUUGGAAGGCAGGAGAGGAGGAAGGCCCCAGCAUCUUCCAUCACUGCUGCAGACACCAACCAACCCUCCUUCCUCCCCACCUCUGCUUCAACUCUCACCUGGGUCCCCACCCCAAACAGCCCUCUGCUAGCCAUUGUGUUAGCUGCACUUCACUUGCAAAAGGGUUUCCUUUGCCAAUUUUUUUUUUUACAUUUAAAAGUAAACUUUAAUAUCGAAAAUGCAAACUUGGGGAGGGCAGAAAGAUCACACACAAGGCUGUCGCUUCACACUUGGUUGCACAGCGGCUGGGUAAAGGUGCUCCUCAUUUCCCAGACAAUGGGGCGGCCAGGCAGAGGUGCUCCUCACUUCCCAAACAGUGCCUCGGCCGGGCAGAGGUGCUGGUCACUUCCCAGAUGGUGUGGCGGCCAGGGAGAGGCGCUUCUCACUUCCCAGACGGUGGGGCGGCCAGGGAGAGACGCUUCUCACUUCCCAGACGGUGGGGCGGCCAGGCAGAGGUGCUCCUCACUCCCUAGACUGUGCGGCAGCCAGGGAGAGGCGCUCCUCACUUGCCAGGCGGAGGCGCUUCUCACUUCCCAGACAGUGCGGCAGCCAGGGAGAGGCGCUUCUCACUUCCCAGACAGUGCGGCAGCCAGGGAGAGGCGCUUCUCACUUCCCAGGCAGUUGGGCUCUGGGCAGAGGUGCUCCUCACUUCCCAGACAGUGUAGCCCUCGGGCAGAGGGGCACCUCACUUCCCAGACGGGGCAGCGGCCAGGCAGAGACGCUCCUCACUUCCCAGACGGUGCGGGGGCCGGGCAGAGGUGCUCCUCACUUCCCUCACUCUGGAGGGGCGGCCAGGCAGAGGGGCACACUUCCCAGAUGGGGCAGCGACCGCAGAGGCACACCUCACUUCCCAGACGGUGGGGGAGCCGGGCAGAGGAGCUCCUCACUUCCCAGACGGUGGGGCAGCUGGGCAGAGGCGCACCUCACUUCCCAGACGGAGUGGCGGCCGGGCAGAGGCGUUCCUCACUUCCAAGACGGGGUGUCCUUUGCCAAUUUUUAUAAAAAAUUUUGGCAUAGUGCUUGCAUAAAUUUGCAGGUUGUAUUCAAGACGCCUUGACUCCAAUAAUGUAAGAGAAAACACAGUGAGGGCACUUGCAGUCAAAGGAGGCUUUCAGGAGGGCACACUUGAUUGGCUACACGGGGCUGGGAGAGGCACUCAGUAGGUGAGGCUGGGAUGCCCACGAUCCAGGAAUACAGAGCUUUCUCAACGUUGGCUUGAAAGCAUGGCUAAUAGGCAGAAAAAGACUCUUCUCACGGUGAAGGAAGACUCAGGAGGUGUGGAGGGGAAUGGGGUCCAUUUAUUCCAUCCAAGGUGGGGCAAGAAAGGACAGGAGGCAGCCCAAGUGUGGAGCUGUUUCCUCCCAAUAGUGAAUAUCUAGUAAUUUUACCCAGAAGUUCUGAUUUUUCUUGUUAGUCAAACUGGGUUCUGAUUUCCAAGAUUAGGCGAAAUCCAGAGCAGUUUGGGAAAUGAAGGAAUCUGACUGAACAAUAAGAGUCAGAACCAUGGCCCUACCAUAAGCAACACCUUAACAGAAACAAAUUCCUUUGUCCAUUCAUUCUAUCCACAAACUAUUUUCAGAGAAGAGAAUGUUCCAGCUAGAAAUGCAAGUGGACAAGUGCCAACCUGAUGAGGCCAAUGAUUUGCAAGUGGAGACCUCUGAGGAACUUGGUAAAGAAAGCAGGCCUUGGCCUUUGCCCGGGGAGGCUUGGGACCCCUGACCACCCCCUGCCCCAUCACCAAUAAACAGACAGGAAGGAGGAAUUCAGGGACAGCCUUCAGAAGGGAGUGGCUAUCCACUGGCCACAGCGAUGACCAAAGAGAGGUUCAUGCCGCAGAAGAACACAAAGGGCACCAAAGCCAUCUAAAAGGCAGACACUGAGUUUAUUAUUUGCUGAAGAAGGGGAGAGACCCAUUUCAUUAAGAAAGGUCAGAACAGCUCUCCAAACUGAAGGUGAACAGGACAGAUACCCUGUGAAAAAGAGGACAUUUUGUUUAAAGGUCUGAUUGGCUCAAAAAGCCAAUUGUAAACUCUCUUGAGGGAGUGGCUGCUGUUCUGAUUGUGUGUCACAGAGGCAUGAGAACAGCUCGUGGGAGAUCCUGGAUGGAUCUGACUUGUGGUGCAUGGCCCUGGCAGCCUGGUGUCUGUGCUUCCUCUCGUUGAGGUGAGAUUUUUCUCUGGCACCCACUUGGGUUAAGAGUGAGGAGCCCUGGGGCCCAUGGGCCUGCUGCAUGGCUCUGCACCUAUCACCUGGCUCUCUGAUCCUCGCUGCCUAGAAUGGAGAGAUAUGCAGCCUUCCUGGUCUCAGGGAUGAGGAAACCACGUGAGAGGAAACCACGUUGGAGAAAUUUGUUACCAUGUAGCCAUUAUAUUUUCUAAACAGGAAAACUGAGUCUCAGAGAGGGAAGCCCCAGUAAGUUGGAGGAUAGAUGAUUAAAAUGCUGCUGAAUAGGGGAAAAAAAAGCAAACUGGAAAGACCUAACCCCAAAUUAGUCAUGUCCAAAUCCUGGUAGGAAGAUUGCAAGAGAUUUUUAUCUUCUCUCCUGUAUGGAUUUUCUAUAUUAUUCUUUUCUGUUGGUGUUCUGGAUUCUCCAAAUUUUUUUACUAUGUGUGGUUUUGAAACCAUAUUUACAAAAAUUUGAAGCAUCAAAGAUAAGCUCAAGGUCAAGGUCGCUAUUAAGUCAAAGGCAUGCAUAGAUCAGGCACAGUGGCUCCUACGUGUAAUCCCAGCAAUUUGGGAGGCUGAGGCAGGCAGAUCAGUGGAGGCCACGAGUUUGAGGCCAGCUUGGGCAAUAUAGAGAGACGCCAUCUCUACUAAAAAUUUAAAAAAUUAGCUAGGCAUGGUGGCAUGCACCUGCAGUCCAGCUACUCAGGAGGCUGAGGCAGGAGGAUUGCUUAAGCCCAGGAGUUUGAGGUUACAGUGAGCUAUGAUCCCUUCUCUGUACUCUAGCCUGGGUGACAGAGGGAGACCUUGUCUCUAUUUAAAAAAAAAAAAUCUGUGCUUAGCAAAGUCAGGAUAUUUUCCCAGAACAGGAGUUGAGAAUUCAGAGCUGGUGGCUAAUUCUAGCAGCCCUAUGCUGGCUAGAGCCCAGGACUCUAUCUCCAGCAUCCCAGUCCAAUUACCCUCUUCCUCGUUAGCAAUAAGCAAUGCACUUCUUCAAGCUAGCAUGCUGGUGUCUCCUCUAUUCCAAUUUCUUGUCCUUGCUGUUCACUGCUUUGUUACCUCGUGGCCCUGUCUAACAUCAAGGACUUAGCCUUUCCAUUUCCUCCCAGGACCCUCGCUGAGUCCCCUCAGCCUCUUCACUUGCUUCUGCACGGCCCAUCCCGUCAGUUAAUUUCAGCAAUCCCUCAUCCCCUUGACCUCACUAUCUGCCCCUGGGGACAAUCACAGGAGGACUCCCUUUGACUCAGUCCAGCUGCCGCCUUCUCUGUCCUGCCUGGAGCAGCUGAGUGCUGCUAAGACCACAUGGCCUCAUGGAUCCAGGCGGGCAUGAGCUCCCAGCCUCUGCUUCAUCCUUGGUGCUGCCCGAAGGCUUUCUGCUAACUUCUGCCCUGCAAGUCGACCCUGCGUCAUUUUCAAGUGCUGCCUACACCUGUGAACUUGAUUGGAUUGCUCUUGUUCUUUGCACAAGAGCAAAAACAUCUGCCUGGGGUGCAGCUUGUCCUAGUGACUAGGACUUCCCUGAUACACAACUCUCGCCCAUCUGCUGUGGAGUGGUCUCACUGACAUCUGGGGAAGCAACAGGAAGAAGCUUCAUCCCUAUUUCUAAAGGUUUGCAGUGACUGGCAGCUGGUGUUGAGACAGACCUGCCUUCUGUAGGUGGACUUUGGUACUGGCCUUGGUUGUCUUUUUAUGGACAUAUUGAGAGGGGUGUGAUUUUCACCCUCCUGCCCCAGCAGUGUGGCAGUGCAUUUUUUAUUCUUUCAAGCAGGUUGUUUUGUGGUGUUUCUUGGCAUACAAUGGGAACAGAAUUAAAGAUAUGCCUCUUUUGGGGCGUGGCUUUGGCACUAAAGGCCUUCCGGAAGUUGCUGCUCAGACCAAGGGGGGCUCCCCUGCUAAAGAUGGGAGGGAGGAGUCACCAGGAGUGGCCACCUUACGUAUGGAAUUGAUUGUAGCCAUCCUAAGGAAGGUCUGUGGGCUCUUGAGGAAGGCAAAGGUCUUGUAUAAUAACUGACCCACAAGCUGUCUUUUGCCUGUCUUUUGCCAACAGCAGUGCCAAGUUGUCUCUGGCUAUUGGGCAGCUGAUGAGCACUGUCAUGAAAGAGUGGGGCCGAGAUGUGCUGCAAGUAGUGUGGCGCUGAGGCAGGAGCUCUGCCUGCAGAACAGGGGCCAGGCUCCCUCCUGGCUCUGUCACUCAUCAGGUGCAGGGCCUUGGCCAGUCCCCUCUCCUGUGUUGGUCAUGAUUCACUCACCUAUCAAAUGGAGGCUUGGACUCAGUUUUCUCUGCAGUCCCACUGAGCUCCAGCUUUUUAAAUUCUCACCUCCCUACUGCCUCCUCUGCUGUGGGCCAGUUUCUAAGCUACAAUAUCCAUGUUCAGGGGUGUAGGCAGUGGAAGUGCCCUCAUAGGCAGGGCACAGGGAAGCCUUGUGGGUUCAUUCAUGUGGCUUUCCUGGGGCAGCUGGGGGCUUACACUGUGGCUGCAAACCAACAAGCUGGCGGAGUGACUGUGGCCUUGGAAUGCUUUUCCUUUUUAGGUUGACACGUUAAAAUGGGAAAAAUUUGCUUACAAAUCUACAUUUCCCACUUUGCUGAAAGAACUUUAAAAUGGGGUCACUUAGGACAACCUGAACUCUCUCACAACCUUCCUCCUUCUCUUUCUGAGCCUCCUGACACCCCUGGCCUUCACUAAUUUAGGUGACUUGCCUGGUGUAGCUACUGGAAAUGGAAGAAUACCCUGAGGGCAUCUGGGAGGCAUUGCCCUGUAGUGGGCUUCCCAGAGGCCAUGUGUUAGGGAUGUGAGGGCCAGGCCAGAGCCUUGCUGCCCCUCCUGCAAUGCCAGCUGUCCCUGCAGUUUUGUGGGUGGAAAGUUGAUCCCAGCUGAGAGUGGCAGCCUUGAAGUGUCUCCAGGAGGGUCUUAUACCUCUUGAGCGUUGGAAGUAAAUGCUCGGUGCUGCCAAGUGAAAAUAGCACUCAGGCAAAAGUUUUCUCAGCAAGGCAAUUUACUUCUACAGAAGGGUGCAUCUCACUGAUGGAGCAAUGGCAAGAGCACACUGGACAAGGGAGGGGAAGGGGUUCUUAUUCCUAAUGCAGCUAGUCCCUACUGCUGUGUCUUUCCCCUAUUGGCUGGGGUUGGACCGCACAGUCUAAGCUAAUUCCAACUGGCUAUUUUAAAGAGAGCAGGGGUAUGAGCCAGAGAGGUGGGGUGAGUAAUUUUGGCAGGAAGGAUGGUUACAGAGCAAAUGACUAAGGAUGACUAAGGACACAGCAGGUGAUUAAGGAUGACUAAGGACAGAGCAGGUGAUGGAGGCUAGGAGGGGGUUGUUUACCAAAACUAGGGGCAAAGAGACAUAAAGAACAAAGUUAAACUUUAAAGUGGAGAACAAACAACAGGGAAGCUGAACAUACUGACAUGUUGGUUCUUUGAAGAGGAACUCAGAACUCAUUGUACUUAACAAUUUUCCCCUCUUGAAUGUUUUUUCAAGUUUCUGAUAACUUUAUUUCUUUUUUUUAUUAUACUUCAAGUUCUAGGGUACAUGUGCACAACAUGCAGUUUUGUUACAUAGGUAUACAUGUGCCAAGCUGGUUUGCUGCACCCAUCAAUUCGUCAUUUACAUUAGGCAUUUCUCCUAAUGCUAUCCCUCCCCCAGCCCCCCACCCCCUGACAGGCCCCAGUGUGUGAUGUUCCCUGCCCUGUGUCCAAGUGUUCUCAUUGUUCAAUUCCCAUUUAUAAGUGAGAACAUGCGGUGUUUGGUUUUCUGUCCUUCUGAUAGUUUGCUGAGGAUGAUGGUUUCCAGCUUCAUCCAUGUCCCUACAAAGGACAUGAACUCAUCCUUUUUUAUGGCUGCAUAGUAUUCCAUGGUGUAUAUGUGCCACAUUUCCUUAAUCCAGUCUAUCAUUGAUGGACAUUUGGGUUGGUUCUUUGCUAUUAUGAAUAGUGCCACAAUAAACAUACGUGUGCAUGUGUCUUUAUAGUAGUAUGAUUUAUAAUCCUUUGGGUAUAUACCCAGUAAUGGGAUUGCUGGGUCAGAUCCUUGAGGAAUUGCCACACUGUCUUCCACAAUGGUUGAACUAAUUUACACUCCCACCAACAGUGUAAAGGCGUUCCUAUUUCUCCACAUCCUGUCCAGCAUCUGUUGUUUCCUGACUUUUUUUUUUUUUUUUUUUUCUGUGACAGAGUCUCGCUCUGUCGCCCAGGCUGGAGUGCAGUGGUGUGAUCUUGGCUCACUGCAAGCUCCACCUCCCGGGUUCACGUCAUUCUCCUGCCUCAGCCUCCCGAGUAGCUGGGACUACAGGGGCCUGCCACUAUGCCCAGCUAAUUUUUUUGUAUUUUUAGUAGAGACGGGGUUUCACCGUGUUAGCCAGGAUGGUCUCGAUCUCCUGAACUCGUGAUCCACCUGCCUCGGCCUCCCAAAGUUCUGGGAUUACAGGCGUGAGCUACCGCACCUGGCCGUUUCCUGACUUUUUAAUGAUCAGCAUUCUAACUGGUAUGACAUGGUAUCUCAUUGUGGUUUUGAUUUGCAUUUCUCUGUUGACCAGUGAUCAUAAGCAUUUUUUCAUCCAUCUUUUGGCUGCAUAAAUGUCUUCUUUUGAGAAAUGUCUGUUCAUAUCCUUUGCCCACUUUUUGAUGGGGUUGUUUGCUCUAUUCUUGUAAAUUUGUUUAAGAUUCUUUGUAGAUUCUGGAUAUUAGCCCUUUGUCAGAUGGGUAGAUUGCAAAAAUUUUCUCCCAGAUGGUAGUUUCUUUUGCUGUGCAGAAGCUCUUUGGUUUAGUUAGAUCCCAUUUGUCUAUUUUGGCUUUUGUUGCCAUUGCUUUUGGUGUUUUAGUCAUGAAGUCCUUGCCCAUGCCUGUGUCCUGAAUGGUAUUGUCUAGUAGGUUUUCUUCUAGGGUUUUUAUGGUUUUAGGUCUAACAUUUAAGUCUUUAAUCCAUCUUGAAUUAAUUUUUGUAUAAGGUGUAAGGAAGUGAUCCAGUUUCAGCUUUCUACGUAUGGCUAGCCAGUCUUCUCAGCACCAUUUAUUAAACAGGGAAUCCUUUCCCCAUUUCUUGUUUUUGUCAGGUUUGUCAAAGAUCAGAUGGUUGUAGAUGUGGGUUUUAUUUCUGAGGUCUCUGUUCUAUUCCAUUGGUCUAUAAAUCUGUUUUGGUACCAGUACUAUGCUGUUUUGGUUACUGUAGUCUUGUAGUAUAGUUUGAAGUCAGGUAGCAUGAUGCCUCCAACUUUGUUCUUUUCGAUUAGGAUUGUCUUGGCAAUGCGGGCUCUUUUUUAGUUCCAUAUGAACUUUAGUUUUUUCCAAUUCUGUGAAGAAAGUCUUUUGUAGCUUGAUGGGGAUGGCAUUGAAUCUAUAAAUUACCUUGGGCAGUAUGGCCAUUUUCACAAAUAUUGAUUUUUCCUAUCCAUGAGAAUGGAAUGUUCUUCCAUUUGUUUGUGUCCUCUUUUAUUUCAUUGAGCAGUGGUUUGUAGUUCUCCUUGAAGAGGUCUUUCACAUCCCUUGUAGGUCGGAUUCCUAGGUAUUUUAUUCUUUUAGUAGCAGUUGUGAAUGAGAGUUCACUCCUGACUUGGCUCUCUGUUUGUUAUUGGUGUAUAGGAAUGCCUGUGAUUUUUGCACAUUGAUUUUGUAUCCUGAGACUUUGCCAAAGUUGCUCAUCAGCUUAAGGAGAUUUUGGGCUGAGGCAAUGGGGUUUUCUAAAUAUACAAUCAUGUCAUCUGCUAACAGGGACCAUUUUACUUCCUCUUUUCCUAAUUGAAUACCCUUUAUUUCUCUUGCCUGAUUGCCCUGGCCAGAACUUCCAACACUAUGUUAAAUGGACUGGUGAGAGAGGGCAUCUGUGUCUUGUGCCAGUUUUCAAAGGGAAUGCUUCCAGUUUUUGCCCAUUCAGUAUGAUAUUGGCUAUGGGUUUGUCAUAAAUAGCUCUUACUAUUUUGAGAUAUGUUGCAUCAAUACCUAGUUUAUUGAGAGUUUUUAGCAUGAAGGGCUGUUGAAUUUUGUCGAAGGCCUUUUCUGCAUCUAUUGAGAUAACCAUGUAGUUUUUGUCAUUGGUUCUGUUUAUGUGAUGGAUUACGUUUAUUGAUUUGCAUAUGUUGAACCAGCCUUGCAUCCCAGGGAUGAAGCUGACUUGAUCAUGGUGAAUAAGCUUUUUGAUGUGCUGCUGGAUUUGGUUUGCCAGUAUUUUGUUGAGGAUUUUUUCAUCAAUGUUCAUCAGGGAUAUUGGUUUAAAAUUCUCUUUUUUUGUUGUGUCUCUGCCAGGCUUUGGUAUCAGGAUGAUGCUGGCCUCAUAAAAUGAGUUAGGGAGGAUUCCCUCUUUUUCUGUUGAUUGGAAUAGUUUCAGAAGGAAUGGUACCAGCUCCUUUUUGUACCUCUGGUAGAAUGUGGCUGUGAAUCCGUCUGGUCCUGGACAUUUUUUGGUUGGUAGGCUAUUAAUUAUUGCCUCAAUUUCAGAGCCUUUUAUUGGUCUAUUCAGAGAUUCAACUUCUUCCUGGUUUAGUCUUGGGAAGGUGUAUGUGUUGAGGAAUUUAUCCAUUUCUUUCUAGAUUUUCUAGUUUAUUUGUGUAGAAGUGUUUAUAGUAUUCUCUGACGGUAGUUUGUAUUUCUGUGGGAUUGGUGGUGAUAUCCUCUUUAUCACCUUAUUUUGUCUAUUUGAUUUCUCUCUCUUCUUUAUUAGUCUUGCUAGCGGUCGACUAAUUUUGUUGAUCUUUUCAAAAAACCAGCUCCUGGGUUCAUUGAUUUUUUGAAGGGUUUUUUGUCAUUGAUUUUCGAAGUGUCUUUAUCUCCUUCAAUUCUGCUCUGAUCUUAUUUCUUACCUUCUGCUAGCUUUUGAAUUUGUUUGCUCUUGCUUCUCUAGUUCUUUUAAUUGUGAUGUUAGGGUGUCGAUUUUAGAUCUUUCCUGCUUUCUCUUGUGAGCAUUUAGUUUUAUACACUUCCCUGUACAAACUGCUUUAAAUGUGUCCCAGAGAUUCUGGUACAUUGUGUCUUUGUUCUCAUUGGUUUCAAAGAACAUCUUUAUUUCUGCCUUUGUUUCAUUAUUUACCCAGUAGUCAUUCAGGAGCAGCUUGUUCAGUUUCCAUGUAGUUGUGUGGUUUUGAGUGAGUUUCUUAAUCCUGAGUUCUAAUUUGAUUGCACUGUGGUAUGAGAGACAGUUUGUUGUGAUUUCUGUUCUUUUACAUUUGCUGAGGAGUGCUUUACUUCCAAUUAUGUGGUCAAUUUUAUAAUAAAUGUGAUGUGGUUCUGCGAAUAAUAUAUAUUCUGUUGAUUUGGGGUGGAGAGUUCUGUAGAUGUCUAUUAGAUCCACUUGGUGCAGAGUUGAGUUCAAUUCCUGGGUAUCCUUGUUAACCUUCUGUCUCAUUGAUCUGUCUAAUAUUGACAGUGGGGUGUUGAAGUCUCCCAUUAUUAUUGUGUGGGAGUCUAGGUCUUUUUCUAGGUCUCUAAGGACUCACUUUAUGAAUCUGGGUGCUCCUGUAUUGGGUGCAUAUAUGUUUAGGACAAUUAGCUCUUCUUGUUGAAUUGACCCCUUUAUCAUUAUGUAAUGGCCUUCUUUGUCUCUUUAGAUCUUCGAUGGUUUAACGUCUGCUUUAUCAAAGACUAGGAUUGCAACCUCUGCUUUUUUUUCUUUCCAUUUGUUUGGCAGAUCUUCCUCCAUCAAUUUAUUUUGAGCCUAUGUUUUGAGUUUGGUAAUAACUCCUAUGAGCUAUUGAGCAAAUAGGAGCAAACUCAAUAUAUAGGAGCAAAUUCAAUAUAUUUUGAGUUUGCUGGAGGUCCACUCCAGACCUUGUUUGCCUGGGUAUCACCAGUGGAGGCUGCAGAACAGCAAAUAUUGUAGAACAGAAAAUAUUGCUGCCUGAUCCUUCCUCUGGGAGCUUCAUCCCAGAGAUGUACCAGCAUCUAUGAGGUGCCUGUUGGCCCCUACUGGGAGGGGUCUCCCAGUUAGGCUACACUGGGGUCAGGGACGCACUUGAGGAGGCAGGCUGUCUGUUCUCAGAGCUCUCUGCACGUGAGCUGGGUCUCCUGAAUAUAGCACACUAAUGGGUCUUGACUCCUUAUCCAAUUUGCCAGUCUGUGUCUUUUAAUUGGGGCGUUUAGCCCAUUUACAUUUAACGUUAAUAUUGUUGUGUGUGAAUUUGAUCCCGUCAUUACAAUGUUAGCUGGUUAUUUUGCCCAUUAAUUGAUGCUGUUUCUUCAUAGCAUCGAUGGUCUUUACAAUUUGGCAUGCUUUUGAAGUGGUUGGUACUGGUUGUUCCUUUCCAUGUUUAGGGCUUCCUUCAGGAGCUCUUGUAAGGCAGGCCUCAUGGUGACAAAAUCUCUCAGCAUUUGCUUGUCUAUAAAGGAUUUUAUUUCUCCUUCACUUAUGAAGCUUAGUUUGACUUGAUAUGAAAUUCUGGGUUGAAAAUUCUUUUCUUUAAGAAUGUCAAAUAUUGGCCCCUACUCUCUUCUGGCAUGUAGAGCUUCUGCUGAGAGAUCUGCUGUUAGUCUGACGGGCUUCCCUUUGUGGGUAACCCAACCUUUCUCUCUGGCUGCCCUUACCAUUUUUUCCUUCAUUUCAACUUUGGUGAAUCUGACAAUUAUGUGUCUUGGGGUUGCUCUUCUUGAAGAGUAUCUUUGUGGUGUUCUCUGUAUUUCCUUAAUUUGAAUGUUGGCCUGCCUUGCUAGGUUGGGGAAAUUCUCCUGGAUAAUAUCCUGAAGAGUGUUUUCCAGCUUGGUUCCACUCUCCCUGUCACUUUCAGGUACACCAAUCAAAUGUAGAUUUGGUCUUUUCACAUAGUCCCAUAUUUCUUGGAGGCUUUGUUCAUUUCUUUUUACGCUUUUUUCUCUAAACUUGUCUUCUCACUUUAUUUCAUUAAUUUGAUUUUCGGUCACGGAUAUCCUUUCUUCCACUUAAUCGAAUUGGCUAUUGAAGCUUGUGCAUGCAUCACAAAGUUCUCGUGCCAUGGUUUUCUGUUCCAUCAGGUCAUUUAAGCUCUUUCUACACUGUUUAUUCUAGUUAGCCAUUCCUCUAACCUUUUUUCAAGGUUUUUAGCUUCCUUGCGAUGGGUUAGAACAUGCUCCUUUAGCUCAUAGGAGUUAUUACCAACCUUCUGAAGCCUACUUCUGUCAACUCGUCAAAGUCAUUCUCCGUCCAGCUUUGCUCCAUUGCAGGUGAGGAGCUGCCAUCCUUUGGAGGAGAAGAGGUGGUCUGGUUUUCAGAAUUUUCAGCUUUUCUGCUCUGGUUCAUCCCCAUCUUUCUGGAUUUAUCUACCUUUGGUCUUUGAUGUUGGUGACCUACCGAUGGAGUUUUGGUGUGGAUGUCCUUUUUAUUGACAUUGAUGCUAUUUCUUUCUGUUUGUUAGUUUUCCUUCUAAGAGUCAGGUCUCUCAGCUGCAGGUCUGUUGGAGUUUGCUGGAGGUCCACUCCAGACCUUGUUUGCCUGGGUAUCACCAGUGGAGGCUGCAGAACAGCAAAUAUUGUAGAACAGAAAAUAUUGCUGCCUGAUCCUUCCUCUGGGAGCUUCAUCCCAGAGAUGUACCAGCAUCUAUGAGGUGCCUGUUGGCCCCUACUGGGAGGGGUCUCCCAGUUAGGCUACACUGGGGUCAGGGACGCACUUGAGGAGGCAGGCUGUCCGUUCUCAGAGCUCAAAUGCUGUGCUGGGAGAACCACUGCUCUCUUCAGAGCUGUCAGACAGGGACGUUUAGGUCUGCAGAAGUUUCUGUUGCCUUUUUUCAUCUAUGCCCUGCCCCCAGAGGUGGAGUCCAUACAGGCAAUAGGCCUUGCUAAGCUGCAGUGGGCACCACCCCGUUCGAGCUUCCUGGCCACUUUGUUUACCUACUCAAGCCUCACCAAUGGUGGAUGCCUCUCCUCCCUCCAGGCUGCAGCCUGGCAGGUCAAUCUCAGACUGCUGUGCUAGCAGUGAGCAAGGCUCUGUGGGUGUGGAACCUGCAGAGCCAGGCAUGGGAGAGAAUCUCCUGGUCUGCUGGUUGCUAAGACCAUGGGAAAAGCACAGUAUUUGGGCAGAGCACAGUAUUUGGGCAGAAGUGUCUCAUUUUUCCAGGUACAGUCUGUCAUGGCUUCCCUUGGCUAGGAAACGGAAAUACUGCUACCCUGUGCACUUCCUGGGUGAGGCAAUGCCCCGCCCUGCUUCAGCUCACCCCCUGUGGGCUGCACCCACUGUCCAACGAGUCUCAAUGAGGUGAACAAGGUAUCUCAUUUGGAAAUGCGGAAAUCACCCGUCUUCUGUGUCGAUCACACUGGGAGCUGCAGACUGGAGCUGUUCCUAUUCGGCCAUCUUGGAACUGAACUCCCCCCUCUUAAAUUUUAAUGGAAGUUAACAGGAUUAAACCUUUGAAGGGGAAUUUACUGUGUCCUACAUGAGUAACUCUAUAACUUUGCCAGGGACUUUGGGGUUGUGGAUAAGGUUUUGCUCAAGUGGACCUUGGCACCGGCUUCUGGAGUUCCUCCUAUGGCCCCUGCUACUCUGGUCUCUGCCACCCAGAACUGCCUUGAGAAGGGAGUCGCAGGCAGGAGUGUAACAAGGCCCCUUAAGUUUAGGGAGCUGGUAGAGGAGGAAGUGGAGAAAGCCAGAGAGAAGAGUUACGGAGAUUCCUUGUGGCUCUGUCCUGCAGAUUGAGGAAGUUGUACAGGGCUUCCUGGAGCAGCUCAACUCGAAGCUGGAGCCCAGCACAAAGGAGACCCUGCAGGCCAUGUGCUCACUGGCAGGCCACAACACCCAGACUGUCUUCCCCAUGCUGUGUAGCAAGCCACUGCCUUAGGGCAGGUUCCUCUCCCCUGGCCCAGGGCAUAUUCUGCAGCCCAAGAAACCCUUCCCUGCUGUCUGGCUCCAAGCCCAAAAUUCACUAUGCAAGGAUGGUUUUUUUCUGUCCCUUCUUUUCUUGGAUGCCCAUCAAGCCUUAUCUUCAUGUCCUAUGUUCAAUUCUUCUUUGGCCUCACUCCCUCUAGUCCCUGAAAACUGGCUUUUCAUGGGCCCGAGACCAGACUUGUCCUAGGGGCCUCUUCAGCAAGGCCCAUGACACAGCUGUCCCUGGGUCCCGCAGAAUCACUCUGGGCCUGUAGAAGGCUUUUGGCACCCAGCAGGAGACUGCCAAUGGUGUCUUGCAGCUGCUCCCUGGCAUCCUGGAAAAGACCUAGUCAGACGGAAGCUCAGGGGAUGGACUUCCAGCCUGUAGUUGUUGGUAGAAGGGAGGAGAGGGACCCAGGGCUUUCUGUUCCAGGAACUUGGAGGUAGAGGGAAAGAUUGGUCAAAAGGUUUGACCUUGGGAGACUCAAGCAGGUAGUGGGGACAGGCACAGAGCAGCAGGUCCACAUUAGAAUCAUCUGCGGUGCACCACUUCCAUACUCUCACCUCGUAUUUGUACUUUAAUAUCUAAGAACUGCAUGAUGGAGAAAGGGCAGGGAGCAAUCUCAUUCUUUGAACAAGGACACUGACAUGCAGUCAUCAGGUUUUCUUUCCUCUGAUUUCAGGGCUGGCAUUUUCCUGGAGGCCUGGCACAGUCCCAUGGAGGAUGGGAAAGGGGGAGGUCUGGCUGCCUGGCAUUGGCGUGGACAAAAACAGGUAACACAGCAUCUUUUGCUGAACAUUUAUAGCUGGCUCCCUUUUCCUGUUUAAUGUCAAGUGAGCAGAAGGGAAAGCAGGUUUGUAUGUGUGUGCCUUGGUUUUCUGGGGAUGAGGUGUGGCUUUUUAGUCUGUGGAUGUGUCUUACAUCCCAGAGUCCCAGUGAGCUGAGCCCAUUGGAAGGACAGGGUGGGACUGUAGUCUUGGCUUUCAGUGUGCGGGAUCCUGGCCCACUCGAUGCCGCUUCCCCCCAAGCAUCCUGUGCUUUGUGUGCCAUGCUGUCAGGGUCUGUGUGCCAGGGGCAGUCCAGGAGCUCUACCCGCAGCUGCUGCUGGCUGUGCUGUGCCAUCUCUACUGGGUGAUUGAGCAACAUCCUCCCCAGCAGACUGUGUCUACAGCAAGGAGAGGGCCCGGGCAACAGGAGCAGCUUUGACCCCACCAGAUAAGCCUCACCACCAGGGGAUGCAGAAAUGAAGCCUGGCAAUUCCUGAGAGCCCUGGACAAGCAGAUGUGGAUCCCUUAGCAGGGUGGGGAAGGGAAGAGUAGGAUGGGGUGUGGGGGCUGCAGCAUCAUGCAUGAGAACAUUCUCCCGGAUGCUCCAAUGUCCUGAUUCCUUUUGCUGCGUGCAUUCUUCCACUGACCCACACGAUGUUCACAUACAAGCUCAUCACUGUGCACAUGAAGAGAUCAGUCAGACAAGGCCAGGCUGGAUUAUGCUCUCCAUGCAGUUCUGGCCGUGUCCAUCACAAUGAUUGGCCUGUGGCUUGCCUUUGUUCACAAGUUGAGUCCUCCUGUGCAAGGCCCUGUUAAGAGUUCAGUUGCCUCAUCUGUAAAGUGAGGCUCCUGACUGAAAGUUUGCCAUGCUGGUUUCUUAACCUCCGCAUUUUAUUCCAAUGAAACCUUGUAUGAAAAGGAAUAUGAAUGAAACCAACAGAGCAGAGACAUUUGGAUUAGGUGGGUGUGGAGGUAAGUGAUCCUAACCCUCCUUCUGUGCCCCAGAGAGCAGAAUUUGGAAACCACAGCACUGGGAUACCUCUGUGUCCUCUUUCAUGGGACUCUGUGGCUGGAUGAGGGACAGGGGUGCAAGGCUGAGUGGAUGGGUGAUUGGAGAUGGGUUCUGGUAGAGCUAUGCAUUUGUGUCAGCAGAAAAGCAGAAGCAGGUAUCAGGGGUUGCCAGCCAGAGCAUAACAUUCUGUCCAUCUUUCUUUUUCCAUCUUUCUUUUCACAAACCUGAAGGUGGUGGCCUUCAGUGGUGCCCUGGAGGUUGUGAGGUUGGUGCUCCUGGCAGGUUCAUAUGACAAAGUGGUGGCCUAUGGAAGCGAGCAUUGCUGUUGGGAACUUCUGUCCAGUCCCAGAGCUUAUUACACAGGGAUCAUGGAGCUCACAAGAUGGGACCACUUCCCCAGGACCCCUGGCACCACUCUGGCCCCUGAUCCUACUAUCCCAGGUCUCAGGCUUCAACCCUCCCUGCCUGUCUCCCAGGCCUCUGGUGUCCUGAUUCCUCAGCCCUCACAUUCUCCCCGUUCUCUGCACAUUGGUCCCUGGGCACUCCUCACCCCCCUGCAACUCCUGGUUUCCUGUGUCCCAUCCCAGUGGCAUGGUGCAGAACUGCAAGUCCUCCAUCCUUCUUCAACUCGUGAACCACGUGCGGAGCCUGCUGUACAGCUUAGAUAAGCGGAGCAAGGUCAUGGCCAGGGCCUUCUAUGUACAGGAGAGAGCAGGGAGAGCUCCACAGCUCCAGCCAUGCAUUUCCUGUAGCUGCGCAACUAAGCAUUUCACAGGACCUUAACUAACUUGCUCCUGAAAGAAGAGAAAGAGAACCAUGCCAUCUCAAAUAGGGUUCCCUUCCAUGGAACUUCAGGGGCAUGGUUAACGGAGGCCGGGAAGGCCUGAGGAAGGGUCAGCAGUUCCAGUCCUCCCAGGACAACCCAUGGGUCCCAGCAUCUGGCUCAAAUUCAAGCCUUAUCAGCAUCAGCCACCAGCCCCUCCCACUUUGUCUCCAUCCUAUGUGGGCAGAUCUGCCCUGCUCUGGACACAGUCUUUACCUAACCAUGAGGCCUGAGGGAGGACAGGGGGCCCCCUCCUCCAGGGGCCUGAACCCGCUAGGCCUUCUGUCUCUUCACUCACUUCAGUUCUGAGGUUGCCCACAUCUGCUUCUUUUGGAUUCUGUUUCUUUUCUCAAAACCUGUCCCUGAGGGUUACAUGAUCCCCAAGGUGGCAGUGACCUCUGCCUUCUUCCAAAGAGGCGGAGGCCCUGAAAAGCCUGGUUCCAUCCUUGGGAGGCUUCCUGCACGGUGAGGCGUGGGUGACAGUGCAGGCGGUGAAGAGCCUGCGCAACAUCCUCUGCCACAGGCAGGGUUGGGACAUCCAGCUGCUCUGCGGCAUUGCCAGGCAGCUGCGUCCAGUAAUUAACAUAGAUGCACAAAUUUUCAGUCUAAUACUAGCAAAUCAAAUUCAACAGCACAUUAAAAGGAUCAUUCACCACGAUCAAGUGGGAGUUACCUCAGAGAUGCAAGGGUGAUUGAAUGAAUACAAAUCUGUAAAUAGGACACACUACAUUCACAGAAUGGAGGACGAAAUCCAUAGGAUCAUCUCCAUGAAUGCAAAGAAAUAAAAACUCAACAAAUAUAGAAGGGCCGUACCACAAUACAAUAAGGCCACAUAUGACAAGCCCAAAGCUAACAUCAUACACAAUGAGAUAAAGUUGUAAAGUUGCAAAGUUAACAUCAUCCACAAUGAGAUAAAGUUGCACUGGGACUGCUGCAGCAGGGAGAGCUGGUUUUGAGUGUUAAAUAGAGAACAAUGCAUCAGCCUGGAAAGAAAGGGCCC